UACGUAGGGUGCGAGCGUUGUCCGGAAUUAUUGGGCGUAAAGAGCUCGUAGGCGGUUCGUCGCGUCGGCUGUGAAAACCCGGAGCUCAACUCCGGGCCUGCAGUCGAUACGGGCGGACUUGAGUGUUGGCAGGGGAGACUGGAAUUCCUGGUGUAGCGGUGAAAUGCGUAGGAUAUCAGGAGGAACACCUGCGGUGUAGACGGCUUACUGGACCAUAACUGACGCUGAGGCACGAAAGCGUGGGUAGCAAACAGG
rnacentral:rRNA from 1 species